rnacentral:rRNA from 1 species
UACAGAGGUCCCAAGCGUUGUUCGGAUUCAUUGGGCGUAAAGGGUGCGUCGGUGGCGCCGUAAGUCGGGUGUGAAAUUUCGGAGCUUAACUCCGAAACUGCAUUCGAUACUGCGGUGCUUGAGGACUGGAGAGGAGACUGGAAUUCAUGGUGUAGCAGUGAAAUGCGUAGAGAUCAUGAGGAAGACCAGUGGCGAAGGCGGGUCUCUGGACAGUUCCUGACACUGAGGCACGAAGGCCAGGGGAGCAAACGGG